UUCGUAGUGGCUUGCUAAGUCAGACGUGAAAUCCCUCAGCUUAACUGGGGAACUGCGUCUGAUACUGGCGAGCUUGAGUGCAGGAGAGGAACGCAGAAUUCCAGGUGUAGCGGUGAAAUGCGUAGAUAUCUGGAGGAAUACCGGUGGCGAAGGCGGCGUUCUGGACUGCAACUGACACUGAUGAACAAAGCAGGGGAGCAAACG
rnacentral:rRNA from 1 species